UGGGGUAUCGCCAAGCGGUAAGGCACCGGUUUUUGAUAGCGGCAUUCCCUGGUUCGAAUCCAGGUACCCCAGCCA
rnacentral:tRNA from 2 species